UCAGGUGACGCCGUCUUCGGUGCCUCGAAAGAGGUGAAACGGGAACGCGGUGCGGCGACCGCCUUCGGGUCUCGCUCAUGCCGCGGCUGCCCCCGCAACUGUAGGCGGAUCGCCGCCGGUCGACGGCCACUGAGCGUUUCUCUCGCUCGGGAAGGAUGACCGGCAGCCAUGAUCCGUGAGCCAGGAGACCGGCCGGAGACACGGGGUUCAG
rnacentral:ncRNA from 2 species